UACGGGGGGGGCAAGCGUUGUUCGGAAUUACUGGGCGUAAAGGGCUCGUAGGCGGCCAACUAAGUCAUACGUGAAAUCCCUCGGCUUAACCGGGGAACUGCGUCUGAUACUGGAUGGCUUGAGUUCGGGAGAGGGAUGCGGAAUUCCGAGGUGUAGCGGUGAAAUGCGUAGAUAUCUGGAGGAACACCGGUGGCGAGGGCGGCAUCCUGGACCGACACUGACGCUGAGGAGCGAAAGCCAGGGAGCAAAGCGGG
rnacentral:rRNA from 1 species